GCCGCCCGGGCUGCGGUUACCGGGCCGUCUGCGUCCCGGCCCGACCGGGCUCCGGACCCAUGUGGAAGCUCGUCCCCGGCGCGGGCCCGGCCCGAGAGCCAUACAGACUUUUGACGGGAGUUGAAUACAUAGUUGGAAGGAAAAACUGUAACAUCCUCAUUGAAGAUGAUAAGUCAAUCAGCCGAGAUCAUGCCAUGUUAGCUGCUAAUUUUCCUGUAACCAACCUGAGUCAAGCAGUAGAAAUCCCUGAACUGACAAUAAAAGACAAUUCUAAGUAUGGCACCUUUGUCAAUGAGAAAAAAAUGCAGAAUGGCCUUUCUCUAGUGUUGAAAACGGGAGACCGAGUUACUUUUGGAGUGUUUGAAAGUAAAUUCAGGGUGGAGUAUGAGCCCCUGGUCACAUGCUCUUCUUGUUUAGAUGCGUCUGGAAAAGCCGCUUUAAAUCAGGCAGUCUUGCAGCUGGGGGGACUUACUGUAAAUAAUUGGACAGAAGAAUGUACUCAUCUCGUCAUGACGACAGUGAAAGUGACCAUUAAAACAAUCUGUGCGCUCAUUUGUGGCCGUACAAUAGUGAAGCCGGAGUAUUUCACUGAGUUUGUUAAAGCAGUUCAGUCUGGGAAACAGCCGCCACAAGCCGGAAGUUUUUGUCCUUCUAUCGAUGAACCAACUAUUGGAAGCAAGAAGAUUGAUCUGUCAGGGCGGCAGGAAAGAAAACACAUCUUCAGAGGAAAAACAUUUGUAUUUCUAAGUGCUAAACAGCAUAAAAAGUUGAGUUCAGCGGUAGUUUUCGGAGGAGGAAAGGCGAGGCUGUUGACAGAAGAAAAUAAAGAAGAUGAUCGUUUUUUUUCUGCUCCUGGAACUUGUGUUGUUGACGUGGGAAUAACAAACGCAUCUACGUUGAUUCCUGACUCACAGAAAACGUGGAUUCUUUCCAUUGUGGAUAUUCUCCAAAGGCAAGGUCUUCGACCCAUUCCUGAAGCAGAAAUUGGAUUGGCGGUUAUUUUUAUGACAACAGAUAAUUACUGUGAUCCUAAGGGACAGCCCAGUCCAGGAUGGAAGAUGGCUUCAGCACCAAGCCUUUCCCAGAGCUCAUCACUGAAUGACAGUUUGAUGCCAGUAACGCAGGUGAUUGCUACAGCAGGUGCAACAGACUCCGAAUCGGAGCAGGCAGACACCUGUAUGGAUUUGAGUGAAAGGCCAAAAGAUGUCAAAGUCCCCAGAAUGGAGCAGAAUUUCGGAAAGUCUUCACAAGAAGUAUCUAUUUUAAAGGAACCCUCCCAAAUAAGCCCUCACAAUAAUACAGCCAAAACUCAGGAUCAGAUGAAGGCCCCAAGCUACCAGCUUUCACCAACUACAUUUUGGGGUGUGAAUAAAAGUAGAGAUCGGACUUCACAGCAGCAGACGAACACCAUCAAAAACUACUUUCAGCCUUCUGCCAGAAAAAGGGACAGGGAUGACGAAAAUGAAGAAGUGUCUUCAUCUAAAUCUGCAAGAACCGAAAUGUCUUGUUCUCUUUCAGAACAAACAAUGCCCAUUUCAUCCUCACUCUGGAAAAAUAAGGAGCAAAAUCUAUCCCAGAAUGAGCCUGUGGACAAAAAUUCAGAUAGUCUAUUUACAGAUUUAAAAUCCACUGUGAAAAAUUCUGCUAGUAAAUCUCUUUCUAUAGAAGAGCUACAGCCGGGAAAAAGAAAAGAAAUGGAUGAUAUUGGCAUAGAAGAUGAAGUAUUGGAACAGCUGCUCAAGGACAUGAAAUCAGAAUUAGAUGUCAAAGUGAAAGUUCAAAAAGAAGACAGCAUUAAAAAUAAGAGUAAACGGCCAAAAUUGGAUAUUGAAACAAAUGGCAUUUUUAAUGAUGAAGUGGAGCUAGAAAAUAAAAUCUCUCAAGAAAAUGAAAUUGGGAAGAAAUGUGAUGUCAAGAAAGAACCACUAUGGUCAACGAAAGAAGAACUACCUAAUAAUGACAAACUUCAGGAGGAUGAAGAGAUGCUGCCAAGGAACCUGUUACUGACGGAAUUCAGAUCACUGGUGGUUAGUAAUUCUGACUCCAGAAAGGCAUCUAGUGUAAAUCAUGAUUAUGGUCAAUUAAAGAAUUUCAAGAAAUUCAAGAAGGUAACAUUUCCUGGAGCUGGGAAGCUUCCACACAUCAUAGGAGGGUCCGAUCUCAUAGCUCAUCACGCGCGGAAGAACGCGGAGCUAGAAGAGUGGCUGCGGCAGGAGAUGGAGAUGCAGCAUCAACAUGCAAAGGAAGAGUCUCUCGCGGAUGAUCUCUUUAGAUAUAAUCCUAAUGCGAAAAGGAGAAGAUAACCGAAGAUGUUAGAAUCACGAAAAGUCUCCUAUCAUGAUUUUACUUCAGAUUUCUUCUGAGCUAAACAGCGUGUAAUGCCCAGUGCCCCGCCCUUUAAAAAUCGAACAAAAUUGUCUCCGACCAAAGGACCCAGUGCAAAGAGGCUG